rnacentral:rRNA from 1 species
UACGUAGGGUCCGAGCGUUGUCCGGAAUUAUUGGGCGUAAAGAGCUCGUAGGCGGCUUGUCACGUCGAUUGUGAAAGCCCGAGGCUUAACCUCGGGUCUGCAGUCGAUACGGGCUAGCUAGAGUGUGGUAGGGGAGAUCGGAAUUCCUGGUGUAGCGGUGAAAUGCGCAGAUAUCUGGAGGACACCGGUGGCGAAGGCGGCAUCCUGGACCAACACUGACACUGAGGAGCGAAGCCAGGGGAGCA